rnacentral:lncRNA from 1 species
CAAGACAGUAGGGAGACUAAGAUAACACAUUAUUAAAGAAAAGUUUAGCUGAUAGCAAUCAAGAACACAUGCUGCUCUCUUCAAGUAGGCAGGGAGAUUUCAAAAGGAAGAGAGAAAAGGAGGCUGGGAAUUUCUCCCAAACCUUCAGGUAACUUGAAGGGAGGAAGAGAGAUGGCGAGAAAGGAGUGGAAGUAUUUCCACUCCGGAUGCUCCUCUGUGAGGAAGGAAACCUCAGCGGUGGGGAAUGCAUGUCCUUUCCUGUAACAUUAUAAUGUGCCAGCUCCAAGCGCUUCCUAUAUUUUGUUACAUUCAAUCCUCACGACAGCUCUGUGAGGUGGUUGAUCAUGGCCAAACUUAGCUUGCUCUGACCUUGAUGUCAACUUUUGGAGCAUUCACAGAAGAUUUCUUGAUUUUCUUAGUAAGAUGCCAAGCCAUGAACUUAAUGAUAAACCAAAGUCCGAAGCCCUCAGGUGGACAAAUCAGGGGCAUGUCCUCAUCUGGAACACUGCUGCAAUUUCUAAGGAAAGCGUGAUGGGGAAGGUUUGGUGUGUUGUGCAUUUCUGGAGUAUUUGCAUUUUACAUGAUGAAGCUGGAGAGAACAUAGGUCAUCCAAUGUACUUCCCACCACCAGAGAAGACCCUUGAAGUAUUAAACGUCCAAGGCCUUCCUCCAUUUCCAAGGCUGUGGAAACAAUUGUCAUGGUCUCUUUCUUUCCAUGUCAGUGUCAGGCUAGGUUUUCUGCAGCUGAUUCAGUUCUUGGUCAGCGAAUAUGUCUCUUUUGUUGGAAAUAAUCUUUCGGGGGUCACAUCCAAAGAUUUAUGAGUUCAAUCAUUCUUCUGGUGUCAGCAUCCCAGGCUCAUCCUCUGUGCUCCUUUCUUGGGAGAAGCAAGUUACUAUUUUUAACCAUUCAACUUUCCCCAAACUGACUCUGAACAUCUUAGCCUAAUACAUGUGACAUUUAUUAAAAUUGCCAAGACUUUUAGUCUUGAACGUUCUUGAAAGUGCUGAAGAAUAACAUGCUGGGCGUCUAUCUUUUUCUACCAUGAAUUCACAUAGGUCAUACAUUGUUUCCAGGUACCCGAUGCUUUAAAAUAUGUAACUUUCUCUUCUCUGUGGCCUGUUUGUCUCAAGGUUUCAUUGUGAUCUUUUCUUACUAGAUAUCCUUAUUUCUAGGCUAUCACCUGGACUCACCAUUACGCUGAUCCUGAAAUGUUGUUUGUGGCUCUUCUGGUCCUGCGUUUUCUUCCUUUCUGUCUGGUCCAUUACCCGGAAUGGCAUUAUUACAGCCAACAUAAAAGAGCUGUUCUUGUGAAUCAUAGGCACUCAUAAAUGUACUAGUGCUCCUUUUCUUUUGAGUCUAAUGUUUCAGGGAGUCAAUUACAGGGGGAAAAAAGCAGAGCAUAAAGUUGAGAUUCCUAUAUUGUAGGGGCUCUAAUUUCUUGUAGUCUAUAUGUAAUCAUUUACUGUCAUCAUCCAUUGUGCUUCGACAAAGGAAAUAGGCAGAGUUGGUAAACACUCACAUCCACAUGUAUACAGUCACACACAUUAAUCAUAUAUGUAAUUCAUCGGGCGGCCAGGUAUGUAAAGGAAAGGUCAUACUAUCUCAUUCACCAGCUGUAGUAAACACCAAAUCUAAUUUGUAGACAUCUCAUUGUAUCUGAAUCCAUCCAAAUGUAGCCAUUUUGAAAUCAUAUCUUAAAAAAUACCCCUUCUGUUACUCAGAAAGAGGCAAAUCUUCUAUUUUUCAUAACUUUAUAUCUUCUUCUUGAAUGAUUUCUUUAGCUAAGGAAUUUAAUUGCUAUAAGGAGAGGUAGAAGGUUUUUUUAACUCCACUGCUAAAUAACUAGACACUGACAGGGUGACUCAUUAGCUGAAUCUAUUAAUCUCAGCUGAAUAGAAGGAUCCAGAUGGAAUUGAGAGGAAACGGGCCAUUCCCUUCCAAGACUUAGCAUAAGGACUCCUCAGCUCAGAGUGGCAGUUUUUAUAUUUAAUUUUGGCUGAGGAAGUAUAGGUCACAUUUUUUGUUUCUUUUGAGGAUUACAAAAGAAAGAAACACUGCAGAGACCAUUCUAUUUUUCUUAACUUCUUUUUCUAAGGAUGUAAGAACAAUAAAAAUCUUCAAAUCUGCA